rnacentral:rRNA from 1 species
AUGGUUUCUACCGGCGGCUUCGACGACAAUGCCGUCUGCGAAGGUCUGGUGGUGGAUUUCAAGGGCAGGCCGGUGGACAAGUCCCGCGUCGGGGGAUGGUUCGGAGCCGGCCUCAUCCUAGUCACGGAGUUGGCGGAGCGGGUGUGCGUGAUGGGCAUCUCGAUGAACCUCGUGACGUACCUCACCGGCGACAUGCACCUCUCCAGCGCCAAGUCGGCAAACAUCAUCACCAACUUCAUGGGCACGCUCAACCUCCUCGCCCUCCUCGGUGGCUUCAUAGCCGACGCCAAGUUCGGCCGCUACCGCACCAUCGCCGUCUCGGCAACCAUCACCGCCGUCGGCGUGAGCCUGCUUGCGGCAAGCACGGCGGUGCCAGGGAUGCGGCCCCCACGGUGCGCCGCGGCGGCGGGCGGCGAGGCCCGGGCCCGCGCGGCCGGGUGCGUGGCGGCGAGCGGCGGGCAGCUCGGGAUGCUGUACGCGGCGCUGUACACGAUCGCGGCCGGCGCGGGCGGGCUGAAGGCGAACGUGUCCGGGUUCGGGACGGACCAGUUCGACGGGCGCGACCCGCGGGAGGAGCGGGCCAUGCUCUACUUCUUCAACCGCUUCUACUUCUGCAUCAGCCUCGGCUCGCUCUUCGCGGUCACCGUGCUGGUGUACGUGCAGGACAACCUCGGCCGAGCCUGGGGGUACGGCGUGGCGGCCGCCGCGAUGGCCGCUGCGGUGGCGGUGUUUGCGGCCGGCGCACCGAGGUACCGGUACCACAGGCCGCAGGGGAGCCCGCUCGCAGUGAUCGGCCGCGUGCUGUGGGGCGCGUGGCGGAACCGGAGGCUGCCGUGCCCGGCUGAUGCUAGCGAGCUCCGCGGCUUCCACGAGGCCAAUGUGCCACACACGGACAGGCUUAGGUGUCUGGACAAAGCGGCCAUCGCGGAGGCCGAUCUGACGACGGCGGUGACGGUGACGGAGGUGGAGGAGGUGAAGAUGGUGGUGAAGCUUCUCCCCAUGUGGUCCACGUGCAUACUCUUCUGGACCAUCUACUCCCAGAUGACCACCUUCUCCAUCCAGCAGGCCGAGCAGAUGGACCGCCGGGCCGGCGGCCGCUUCGUCGUCCCGGCGGGCUCGCUCUCCGUGUUCCUCUUCCUCUCCGUCCUGCUCUUCACCGCGCUCAACGAGCGCCUCCUGGUCCCUCUGGCGGCCCGCCUGACGCGGCGCCCGCAGGGCCUCACCUCUCUCCAGCGCGUGGCCGCGGGGCUCGUCCUCGCCACGCUCGGCAUGGCCGUCUCCGCGCUCGUCGAGAAGAAACGCAGGGACGCCUCGAACGGCAGCGGCGGCGUCGCCGUGAGCGCGCUCUGGCUGGUGCCGCAGUUCUUCCUGGUGGGCGCCGGCGAGGCGUUCGCCUACGUGGGGCAGCUGGAGUUCUUCAUCCGGGAGGCCCCCGAGCGGAUGAAGUCCAUGAGCACGGGCCUGUUCCUGGCGACGCUGGCCAUGGGGUUCUUCCUGAGCAGCCUCCUCGUGCUCGCCGUCGACGCCGCCACGCGGGGCGCGUGGAUACGAGGUCACCUGGACGACGGGAGGCUGGACCUCUUCUACUGGAUGCUGGCGGUGCUCGGGAUGGCCAACUUCGCGGUGUUCUUGGUGUUCGCUAGCCGGCACCAGUACAAACGCACCAGGCCGGACGCGGCGACCACGGAGCUGCCUUGA